CGACAAACCUUCCCCAUUGGCCCUACACACUAGCGAAUAUCACUGUGAGGAUGGGCCGCUGGGAAUAUGGCGCGCGGCGAUGACGUCAUGAUGUCAUGUCGCUUCUCUAAGCAUAUUUAAACUCGGCUGACUCUGUCAGCCGUGUACACAGCACAGGCUGUGACCCUGGGGCACACACGGUCGCCGCUUUACAAUUAAGCACCUGAUUAGAUGAUCUCCACUGAUCAGGAUAUGCUACCAGCCUGAAUUUAACUUUGGAUACCUUUAUGUAUGUUUACGUUAGAGCGACUACCUGCCCCAGUUUUAAGUCCCUUAUAGGGAUAUUCAGAACAGGGGUUUUGUUUUUGCUGUAUAUACCCCUUCCAUAUAUUUAUUUUUGGUUCUGGAUCUGAUUGUCCAAUUUUUUACAUCAUGAAACCACUACCAUAGAUGCAUAAAGCUUGGAUUAUUGAUGACCAUUUUUGGUACCAUUAAAUGCGACAUUUAAAUAAUUCCACAAUAAUUGUGCAUACUCCCUAUAUGAUCGGAGUGUCUUGGAUGGAUGCACCUACUGUGAUGCAUCAGAUUUUGAAACAAUAUUUAAUUAUUAUCAAAAAAUCCUGUUUGUCUCGUCCUGAAGAAGCCCCACAGCGAAACGCGUAGGCGACUUCAUAGGAUUCAUUUACCACCCACGACUUUCUAAUCCAGAUGGUUUUAUUUUGAUUAUAUUUAUUCACUUUUCAA